rnacentral:rRNA from 1 species
AGGCAACAGUUGAGAAUAUUCGACCAAGGGCGAAAAGCCCAUCCAGCAAUUUCGCGUGAUUGAUGACGGCCUUUAGCUGGGUAUGCUCUUUUGUUCGGGACCCAAGAUUUCGUACCUCAGCGACAAUACCCGGCCAACCUGGUGCCUGCAGCCCCGGUAAUCUUGAGGGGGUUUGCGUAUUUCGGAAUUACUGUGCGAAAAGCGCGCGUCGGCGGUUAUUUAAAGCACCACGCUUUCGCACCUCAGCGUCAAUAAUUGUGAGGUGAAAGUCCGGAGCUCAACUCCGGAACUGCCCUUGAAACUAGAUGAUUAGAAUCUUGGGGAGGUCAGGGGAAUUCCCCAGUAAUGGGUAAAAUUGGUAGAUAUUCGGAGGAACACCAGUGGGGAAGGGGACUGACUGGACAAUUAUGUUGCUGGGGUGCGAAAGCGGGGGGACCAAACCGGAUUGGAUACCCUGGUAGUCCACCCCUCAACGAGAUAACUAGCUUCCGGGCUCAUGCGCUUGGGUACGCAGCUAACGCAUUAAGUUUCCGCCUGGUGAGAUU